rnacentral:lncRNA from 1 species
AACGAUUUGAAAGCUGCCAACCGGAGGUGAAAAUCUUGCCACUUGUGAAACUGAAGGAACAUCCCCAAGGCCUGGCUUCUCCUUUUAACAGAAGCUUUCUUUCAGGGUCCCCCUCCUGGAUGUGGCAGGCCUCCCAGAUUCCCCUGGAAGUUCUGACUUGCCCAUACACACAAGGACCUCAGGAAACCCAAUAGUGACUUUCCUCAGAUCUGUGAAUUCCUUCUUCUGGAAAAUAACCUUCUCAACAAUUGUAUAAUGGAGUCCUUUAUGUUGUAAACAAGAAUAAAAAAGAAAGUAUAGAUAUUGUGGAGUAGUUUUUUUGUGGGGGGGGGGUCCUUUCUUUAAAAACCGUGUGAAUAUGUGGUUCUCAAUCAUUAUAUCCAAAACAUUUUACUAUUUUUCUUGUAA